UGAGCCAGGAACUUUUCCGAAUAACCCCUUCUUCCUCGUCGUUGCCCUAGGCUUCUUAUCCUCUCCAGCCAUGGCGAACGCCGGCGAUCCCGCCUCCCUCCCCCCCUCCGCCUCUCCCUUCUCAUCCACCCGCGCGCUCGAGUCGGUCCCCUUCUCCUCUGGGAACCCCCGCAUCGAGGAGACCCGCGGCGUCGUCCUCCUCCACCCCGACCCACCCACCGCUGCCGCGGCCGCCUCCUCCUCGUCAUCUCAUCUUCCGGCAGAGAGGAAGCCGCAGGUGUUCGUACCUGCGGUGCCCAACCACAUGACCUACGCGGACUUCUGCCGCUUCUGCGGCUCCUUCGUCCCCCACAUGCUCGAGAUGCGCAUCGUCAGGAUUGAUGGAGCGGAGGACCAGUAUAGCGUUCUCAUAAAGUUUGACACUCUGAGCUCCACCGAUAGCUUCUACAAGCACUUCAAUGGAAAGCAGUUCUCAUCACUGGAGGGUGAUGUUUCUCGUAUACGUUUUGUGGAAGACGUGCACUACACUCAAUUGAUCGAGCAUGCCCAUAGCUCGAUUACGAGCUCAGCUGAGCAGCCUACUUGCCCAGUGUGUCUAGAGCGACUUGACCAAGAUCCUGGAGGCAUUCUUACUACAAUAUGCAACCAUUCUUUCCACUGUUCAUGCAUAUCAAAAUGGACAGACUCUUCGUGCCCAGUUUGUAGGUAUUGUCAGCAGCAACCUGAGAAAUCAAUGUGUUCUGUUUGUGGAACUUCGGAAAAUCUUUGGAUUUGUGUAAUCUGUGGUAAUGUUGGCUGCGGAAGGUACAAAGGUGGUCAUGCUAUUGAACACUGGAAAGAAACUGAACACUGCUAUUCACUUGAAUUAGAAACACAGAAGGUUUGGGAUUAUGCUGGUGACAACUAUGUCCAUCGUUUGAUUCAGUCCAAAACAGAUGGUAAACUGGUUGAGUACAAUUGCUAUGGUGGUCAUGAAGCAGAUGGUAUCUGUUCUAUAUGCAGUGGUGAUGCAGGAAUGGAUGAAGCUCUACUAAACAGUAAAGUUGAAGCUAUUGUUGAAGAGUACAAUGAUCUCCUCACGUCUCAGCUUGACAAACAAAGAAAUUACUAUGAGUCACUUCUGUCAGAAGUCAAAGAGGAGAAUGAGAAAGAAAUUUCUGCAGCCACUUCGAAAUCUGUGAGCAUGAUGAAACUCCAAAAGUUACAGGCAAAGCUUGAUAAGUGCCUUGAAGAGAAAAGUUUUCUUGAUGAUAUCAAUACCAAUCUUGUGAAAAAUCAGGAGAUGUGGAAAGAAAGGGUUCGGAAAGUUCAAGAAAGGGAACAAGCUGCACUUAAAUUGAAAGAUGAGAAGAUUGAGAAGCUGGAGGCGGAGCUAAGAGAUUUGAUAGCCCAUAUCGAGUGCCAAAACGCUGUGGCAGCAGUUCCUGGAUCAAUCUCAAGUGAUAUACAAGGGGGCACAAUUCUUCCUGGACCGUCUACACCAUCCCCGAGCAGCAGCCCUGUUCGCCCCACAAAGGACAGGAAGCGGUACCCUGACUAGAUUUAAAGGAUCUGCUUACACUUUAGACUGUUAGGGUACAUUCUUAUCCCAAUUCUCCACCCUUUGCUGCUCUGUGAUUGGUUCUUUUUUUUUCAAAACGGCUCUGUGAUUGGUUCUCAAGUCCAUGUCCAUUGGGCUCUUAUGAAUUGACAGUUACCUGUUGCCCAUGGUGGCAUUUGGUGUGGAAAAAGGUCACUGAUGAGGGGAAGAGAAACCCGACGUUUGAUUGGACAUCUGCACAUGAAUUUUUUCAUUGUUCAUGAUGUUGAUAAGAUGUUUGUGUGGAAAAAAUCUCACUGAGAUUGUGACGAAGACGAAAGGUACUGGAGGAUCCUCCGAAGCUACAUAGUCGAUAUCUUCGAUGUGAUUUUGGAAGAACAUGCACGACAAGCCAAAUGAUGUAUGCACGCACGCAUACGCGCCGUGCGAAUUGAUUGUUGCCUUGUCGGUAUGGUUGGACAUUUUUCUAAAUCAAAUGAUGGCCCAGGUGAUACAUGUCUGAGCUACAGGCAAAAUAAGGUUUUCUGUUGACAAAAAUUCACAGGACAAAUUUGUAUCCAUUCGCCAGUGUUUUUGUUUUCUUAUGUAUGCCUUGUAUCGAUUAGCUAGUGUUUUUUUUUCUUUUUUGCUGGAAGGUUCGCUAAUGUAUGACCUGUAGAUGUGAUUUUGUACUGCAGUUCAUAGAACGCAAUUCUAUAUAUGC
rnacentral:rRNA from 1 species